ensembl:snRNA U6 U6 spliceosomal RNA
GUUUGCUUCAGCACGACAUAUACUAAAAUAGUAGCUAUACAAAGAAGAUUAGCAUGGACCCUGUGCAAGAAUGACACACAAAUUUGUGAAACAUUCCAUAUAUUA